CUCUUUUCCAAAAGCCAUAGAGCUUUUUGUAAAUCCUUUAUAUUUAGAAAAAUAUAAUUGUUUUAUAUACAGUAUAUAUAAAUAUAGAAGCCCACUGAUUGAUUCCUUCAAGCAAGCUUAAGAUCGAAAAACAUCGAUGGAGCUCAUUCGCUAACGUUACCUAUCUGUAACAAUCGGCUUUAACGUGGAGACUGUGACUUGCAAGAACCUGAAGAUCCAGGUGUGGGAUCUUGUUGGACAGACAAGUUUCAGGGAAAUGCACGAAUAGUCACCAUGCAGUAUGUCCUGACCUGGGGUUUGUCUGAAGUUGGGAAGCAGCCUCAACUGGGAAACACAAAUGGGCAGUUCACACAAGCCAACACUUUUAGAGUGAAACUGUGGUAUCCAGUCACGACCAUAUUCUGUAUCAGAUUCAGCAAUAGUCUGUCAUUAUGAAUUGCUUUGCCUUGAAAUCCAUUUUCCUUACCUUAUCCUGACACUUUUUGGAACCUUUAGAUAUAAAUGUAUUGUGUGGAACAAACAAGCCUCACUGACUGUAGAAUAACAAAUCAUGUCAGCUCUAUUUAUAACAUUUCUAUUGGCAAUAUUUCCCUACUGAAAGUGCCCCAGGAAAUAGAUGGGUACAAUCAGAGGUGUAUUCAUUACACAAAUUCUAUUGCAAAACGUUUUGUGACAGACAAAACGUUUCGUAACAGAAACAGUUUACUGCCUAUGCUGUUCAGUUCCAUUUUGUUCUUUACUCCCUUUCCUCUACUACUACUUUUCCUAGCUUCCUUUCCUCGUUUCCUUUCCUAUUGUUUCUGUGUUUCCUUUCCUUUUCUCCUUUCCCGGUUCCCUUUCAUCAUUUAUUUCCCUCAUAUCCUAGCUCCCUUUCUUUAUUUUCUUUGCCAUCUCCCUUUCCUUUCCUCCUUUUCUAUUCUAGCUCCUCUACCUUUCCUAGAUCCCUUUGCUUAGCCAUUAGUGUUUUUGAUAUUAAUAUCUACUGUAUUGAUAUGUUCAACAUUAUUUGGAUUGGGAUAUUAUAAAUUGCUAUUACUUUUUUUUUUACAUUUGUGAAUGACGUAUGCAAGGUGGCUGACUGUAUAUAAAAAAGCAAUUUUAUGUCAGUUCUACAUUUAAAUUACACUUCAAUUGUUGUGGCAAUGAGGGCUUCAAAUAGUGAUCAAAUCAAAUAAAAGUGUAUUGGUCGCGUACACAGUUUUGUACAUCAAAGAGCAUUUGGAAUUUUACACCAGUGACAAAGUGUACACACUACUAUUUUCCCCAAUGUAGGGAUUUUUUUAA